GACGAACGCUGGCGGCGUGCCUAAUACAUGCAAGUAGAACGCUGAAGCGAGGAGCUUGCUCUUCUUGGAUGAGUUGCGAACGGGUGAGUAACGCGUAGGUAACCUGCCUUGUAGCGGGGGAUAACUAUUGGAAACGAUAGCUAAUACCGCAUAACAAUAGGUGACACAUGUCAUUUAUUUGAAAGGGGCAAUUGCUCCACUACAAGAUGGACCUGCGUUGUAUUAGCUAGUAGGUGAGGUAACGGCUCACCUAGGCGACGAUACAUAGCCGACCUGAGAGGGUGAUUGGCCACACUGGGACUGAGACACGGCCCAGACUCCUACGGGAGGCAGCAGUAGGGAAUCUUCGGCAAUGGGGGCAACCCUGACCGAGCAACGCCGCGUGAGUGAAGAAGGUUUUCGGAUCGUAAAGCUCUGUUGUAAGUCAAGAACGAGUGUGAGAGUGGAAAGUUCACACUGUGACGGUAGCUUACCAGAAAGGGACGGCUAACUACGU
rnacentral:rRNA from 1 species